CAAAUACCUUUUGGAAUAUGCAAAUGAGCUUGCUUGCUUUUUUUGUGUGUGUGUGAACUGCUCUUCAUCAAGCUUUUGUUUCUGUGGUCCAAUUUCUACAUUUUAGGUUGUAACCUUUCAGAAAUCUGUAUGGAACGUUUACCUAGGAAUGUGGAGUGCAACAUUCCACCUGCUUCAUUUUUGAACCUUUGUUUUACACAAAGGUAGCUCAGGAUUGCAUGUCUGUCAUAUGCUGGGACUUGAAGCAUCAAAAUUUAUGUGGCUGAGAAAUUUAUCUGAAUAGGUACUGUUCAUACAGACACCAGCUUUGGUUAUCGCUGCAUCAGGGGUUGGCAUAAGGUUAAACUUUCCCUUUCAAUGUGAUCUGCAAUGAGCUCCAAGUCUGUACUGGAGCAAGAGAUUGUGUAUAAAUACUGUAGAAAAUUCAGGCUCUGUCUCGGGUCUGUGUUUCAAACGCAAGUUAAAUGCAUUUAAAUUGUUCCUCUUCUGGCAUCCAUGCUGAGGGGUCAACUUGUUGUUCUUUGUGUCUUGAUAAAUAUUUAGGACAUGGACAGCAACAGCAGCAACAGAAGAACAGUGGCUUGGCGUUCAGAUCUUGGGCCAAGAAAAGUUUUGAGCCUAUAUGAAUGUCUAAAUUACUGAGCUACUGAGUAUGUUUCUGCCUAGGAAUCCCAAGAUGUGUUCAGGCUUUGGGAUAUCUGUGCAGUUGGGUGCUGCCUGUCAGCUGGAGGUACAAGGACUGAUCCUGAACUGAUAAGGUUGGCUCUAAAUGGUCACUUUGGCGGCAUGUUCUAGGCUAUGUUAGCUGUGUCCUACCAGAUUGAAAAGUUGAGACUUGGAGGAGCAAGUGAUAAUUACAUCCUUUCUAAACAAAUCCUUGGAGCAGCCUAUUCCUGAAGGACUGCACUCCGUGGGAGGGACCCACACUGGAGCAGUUCAUGAGGAACUGUGGAAGAACUUAUGUUGAAGAAGUUAGUGGAGAACUGUCUCCCAUGGGAGGGACCCCACAUUGGAACAAGGGAAGAGUGUGAGGGGUUUUCCCCCUGAGGAGGAGGAGUGGCAGAAACAACCUAUGAUGAACUGACUGCAGGCCCUCUUCUCCAUCCCCGGUUCUGCUGGGGGGAAGAGGUAGAGAAUUCAGGAGUGAAUUGGAACAGAGGAAGAACAUUUGGUUUUAUUUCUCAUUAUUCUACUCUGAUUUUGGUGGGUAGUGGAUUAAGCUAAUUUUCCCAAGUAGAGUCUGUUUUGCCCAUGACAGUAAUUGGUGAGUGAUCUCUCCCUGCCUGUACCCCAACCCAUGAGCCUUUCCUUACAUUUUUUUCUUCCCUGCCCAGCUGAGGAAGGGAAUGACAAAGCGGCAACCCACCACAUGUCACGUGAAGAAUAUCAGGAUGACAGAAAGUACUGACACAGUGCAGGGCAGAGCUAGUUUGCUGAAGCACCACAGCAGAAGGGAAUUGAUUUAGCAGUAACUCCACACCUCAAGUCCUUCAUGUAUUAAAAGGAUUCCUUUAUUAAGAACUUCCAAGGCAAGAGGCACAGGGAGUCAGAUUUUUCAACUGUUUUAAGUGACUGUAGCUCCAGUAGAGAUUGGAUGGAUGAAUGGAUGAAUAACUACAUGUGGUUAACUGGUCUGAGUUACUUGAAGAGCUGGUUGAGACGAUUUUUCUAAAUUAGUAAUAGGGAAUGUAGGAGGUGUGUCCAGGGGUGCAGGGGAUGCACCAAGGGCAGGGAAGCCCAAGGGACAUUUGGCAGAAUAGACAACCCCAUUGGUCACAAGGUCACAUGGUUUUAAGGGAUAAAAAGAGCGCCAAGUUUGAAUAAAGUCUUUUUGAUUACCAUCUCAUCGGAGAGCUGACUGC